AGUAGAGCUUCUGUUGGAUAAGAGUUGCAAAGAAGUAGAGACCAGAGGAGUUGAAUAAAGGGGAAACGAGGACAUUGAAAAAUGGUGACGCCGGUCGGAAGGAACAUAGCAGCACCAUUGCUGCUCUUGAAUCUGGUUAUGUACCUUAUUGUACUUGGUUUCGCUAGUUGGUGUGUUAAUAAAUACAUCAACGGCCAGACCAACCACCCAAGUUUUGUAGGCAAUGGAGCAACCCCCUUCUUCCUUACAUUCUCGAUCUUAGCAGCCGUUAUAGGGAUAGCGUCGAAGUUCGCCGGAGCUAACCGUAUUAGAUUCUUUUUUCUCUUUUUGGUAAUCCUGUUACCGCUCUUGCCAUGGGGUAAUGCAUCAUAUACGUAUAUAUUUACCAAAAGCA